rnacentral:tRNA from 1 species
GCAGUCGUGGCCGAGUGGUUAAGGCGUCUGACUUGAAAUCAGAUUCCCUCUGGGAGCGUAAGUUCGAGUCCUGCCGACUGCG